GUCUUUCUAGAAACACUUUCCAGUACCCCUACUUUGUUACGACUUAUUUCAAUUUAAUAUAUAAAAUAUACUUUUUAUAUGAAAGCGACGGGCAAUAUGUACAUACUUUAAUUUUUAAUCAUUUUAUUAAAUUAAAUAAAAUUACAUUUAAAUCCACCUUCAAUUAAAUUUUAAAAAUUAAUAUUCAUAUAAAUUAAUUUAUUGUAAUCCAUUAUAUUCUUAAUUAUAAUCUGCAUCUUGAUCUGAUUUAAAUUUUUAUAAAAAAUUUAAAAUAUUAUUUUUAUUAAAAAAUAUUUUUUUAACAACGAUAUACAAAAUAAUAAAUUAAGUAAAUUUAUUCGUGGAUUAUCAAUUAUUAAACAGAUUCCUCUAAAUGAACUAAAAUACCGCCAACUUAUUUAAGUUUCAAUAAAUUAUUAUUUACUAUUUUAGUAUUAUAAAUUUAAAUUUUAAUAAUAGGGUAUCUAAUCCUAGUUUUUCAUAAAAUUUAUUAAAUCAUAAUUUACUAUAAAUUUUAAUUAAAUUAAAAUUUCACUUAAUAAUUUAAAAUUUUAAAUAUAAUUCAUUAUUUAUUAAUUAAUUACCUAUAAAAUUUAAUUUAACUUUUGUAAAAUACCGCCAACUUAUUUAAGUUUCAAUAAAUUAUUAUUUACUAUUUUAGUAUUAUAAAUUUAAAUUUUAAUAAUAGGGUAUCUAAUCCUAGUUUUUCAUAAAAUUUAUUAAAUCAUAAUUUACUAUAAAUUUUAAUUAAAUUAAAAUUUC
rnacentral:rRNA from 1 species